rnacentral:pre_miRNA from 1 species
CUUCAUGGUACGACAUUACAUGAUAUAACACUAAUAUGUCCAUUUCCAUUUCAUGAUUCGCACGACAUAGAAAUGAACAUAUUGUUGACAUAUUAUGUAUUCA